GAUGAACGCUGGCGGCGUGCCUAAUACAUGCAAGUCGAGCGAACGGACGAGAAGCUUGCUUCUCUGAUGUUAGCGGCGGACGGGUGAGUAACACGUGGAUAACCUACCUAUAAGACUGGGAUAACUUCGGGAAACCGUAGCUAAUACCGGAUAAUAUUUUGAACCGCAUGGUUCAAAAGUGAAAGACGGUCUUGCUGUCACUUAUAGAUGGAUCCGCGCUGCAUUAGCUAGUUGGUAAGGUAACGGCUUACCAAGGCAACGAUGCAUAGCCGACCUGAGAGGGUGAUCGGCCACACUGGAACUGAGACACGGUCCAGACUCCUACGGGAGGCAGCAGUAGGGAAUCUUCCGCAAUGGGCGAAAGCCUGACGGAGCAACGCCGCGUGAGUGAUGAAGGUCUUCGGAUCGUAAAACUCUGUUAUUAGGGAAGAGCAUAUGUGUAAGUAACUGUGCACAUCUUGACGGUACAUAAUCAGAAAGCCACGGCUAACUACGUG
rnacentral:rRNA from 1 species